GGGCGGUUCGCCGCUCGUGACUCUGCGAGAAGUCCAUUGAACCUUAUCAUUUAGAGGAAGGAGAAGUCGUAACAAGGUUUCCGUAGGUGAACCUGCGGAAGGAUCAUUGUCGAGACCGGAUUACACCGAGCGAUUUGGAUAACCUGUUGAAAUAAUCGGUGGAUAUACUGCCGUGAAAAAAUCCAUCCCAGUCGUACCUCAUCACCUUUCCGGCGGGGAGGAGCGAUGAAGGAUGGAAGAACACUUAACCGGCGCAGCGUUGCACCAAGGAAUACCAAAAUAUGAGCCUUUAAUGGGUUUGAUGGCAUGGGAUGCUACAGCAUCCCACCCAGAUUGAAAUGACUCUCGGCAAUGGAUAUCUCGGCUCUGCAUCGAUGAGGAGCGCAGCGAAAUGCGAUACGUGGUGCGAAUUGCAGAAUCCCGUGAACCAUCGAGUUUUUGAACGCAAGUUGCGCCCGAGGCCAACAGGCUAAGGGCACGUCUGCCUGGGUGUCAAGCGUCACAUCGCUCCGAGUCAACAUCAUCUCGGAUGUGCAGAGUGGCUCAUCGUGCCCCUCGGCGCGGCGGGCUGAAGAGCGGGUUCAUCUUGUUGGCUGCGAACAAUAAAGGGUGGAUUGAAGCGAGGCCUACGUUAUUGUGCCGCGCAUGCCCGAGAUGAGAUUAUACCUUUUUUGGCGAUCCCGAUUCAUGCGUCGAUCCACGGAUGAUGUUUGGAAUGCGACCCCAGGAUGGGUCGAGGCCACCCGCUGAGUUUAAGCAUAUCAAUAAGCGGAGGAGAAGAAACUU
rnacentral:rRNA from 1 species